CGAAAUUCGUUGAUGAGAACAAUGCCGUAUCUAUCGUUAUUUCACAGAGAGCCUGCGGUUGGUGGAAGCAGGUAAUAAGCAGAUAAGGAUAUCCUCUCUAAGAAGCGGGUUGAAAGCAAUAUCAAAGUAAACUUCGCCGGUAUCCCCCGUUACAGGGAGCAUGUAUGAUGGUACGUGAAUGAGAGCUGUAGAAAGAUUCUACAGAAUUAGGGUGGUAACGCGGAUAGAUUUCGUCCCUUUU
rfam:Dorea longicatena CAG:42 genomic scaffold, scf29